rnacentral:lncRNA from 1 species
GCUUGUUUGCUGGCCGGUGCGCCUCGCAGCCAGCCCUGAGCCGGGUGUGACUGCCUCUGGGCCACCCGAUCCCGGCCGUGGGGCGCAGCUUCCAGGCUGGCGGCCCAGACACGCCAACUCCGCUGUGGUUCCUAGCCGAGAAUAAACCCCAUCCUGUUUCUCCUAUUCACAGAAAGUUAGUCAGAAACAGUCUUUUUGGUGUGGGGAGUGAAAAACCCCUACUAGCAGCAUAAAUGGGAGAGAAAGCUCGUGGCCUGUAGAAUCACAGAACACUGAGCCUCAGUGAACUGCACUGCCGCCGCCUGCUAUUUUCACACGCUCCCCAGCUGUCCCCCCCACCGCUGCCGCCGCCGCCAGCCCACCGAAGAAAAGGGACACACAUUUCUGGAAGAAUCUGGACCUGACCUAAAGCACAGUGUAGUUAAGCAGCUCUAGCUCCGUGUUCCGGACCCAGCAUCUGGGUGCCCUGACCUUGGACCCCACUGGAGAGACUUCCACACCAGGGGUGACCUGAAGCGUGCUGGGGAUACUCAGCAGAGGGAAGCCGACUCUUUCCAAGCCAACGAUAGUAAGAGAUACAUCGUGGAAAGUGUGCGUUGCUAACUGCAGUACCACUACCAGGGCCCAACGCAUGUUUCAAACAGCCGGUGUUGCAAAUGACCAGAGGAUGAGCCGCGGAAACCCUCCCAGCUUAAGCCCCUGUAGACUCUUCUUAAUUGGGGCAAUUUCAGGGUAAUCCCUCUUCUCUGCCUCUUCACACUGUCCCCAGUGUGAUUUAACCUAAAUUUCCUUCAAAGUUAGAGCUGCUACCACAUAUUUACAGGGUCAUCUCCCUGAAGCCUUCUGAAG